UGCAAUUCAACUGUUUAAUGCAAUGAAUAUACCCAUUUUAACUCCAAUUAUUAAACAGUCCAUCUGUUUAAGCAAAGAAAAAGCAGAAAGUCAACAUAUUUUCAACUUAAUAUGAAUCAAACAAUCUGAAAAUGUAAAACUCAAAAGAACAGACCUUCAAUAUUAGCGGAGACAGGAACCAACAGCAGCCCAAUUAAGCAAAGAAAAGCUGAGACAAAGCCGUUGUAUGGGACGGAGUGCUAAACUCAAAAGAACAGACCUUCAAUAUUAGCGGAGACAGGAACCAACAGCAGCCCAAUUAAGCAAAGAAAAGUUGAGACAAAGCCCAAGAUCCCCAAUAUCCAUUGAUCCAUUACUCCACCCAGUCCAAUUCACCACAACCGCCACCACCUAAAACCUAGAUUUUCUCACUCACAACUUCACAUACCACAUCUUCAACAGUCAAAAACCCAGAAAAAGUAACCAAAACCCUAAUCCCAAAAGAAGCAGAAAACACAGUAUAACUGAAGCAGACGUCACAAAGAGAUCAACAAAAAGCUGCAAGAAAAGAUUUUUUACUUCCUUGAACUUUCUUGGAAAAUUGAGAAUGACAUAUAAAUCAUAGAGAUUGGAGAAACUGUAAUAAUGGUUCUCUUUCUGUGGUUCUUUUUUUUUGUGUGGUUAAAGUUCAAUAAUAAUAUGGAAUAGUAGUAUAUAAUAAAAUUCAACGGUCUAAGGGGAAGAAUGGUGAUAGUCGUCGUUGCAGAGGAAGAGAGAGAGAGUUAGUCAAAGGUUGUGCUUUGUUUUCACAGUUUAUUCUAUUUGGAAAAAAAGAGCAUUAAUAG
rnacentral:lncRNA from 1 species